rnacentral:rRNA from 1 species
GAUGAACGCUAGCUACAGGCUUAACACAUGCAAGUCGAGGGGAAACGAUAGAGAAAGCUUGCUUUUUCUAGGCGUCGACCGGCGCACGGGUGAGUAACGCGUAUCCAACCUGCCCACCACUUGGGGAUAACCUUGCGAAAGUAAGACUAAUACCCAAUGACGUCCAUAGAAGACAUCUGAAAUGGAUUAAAGAUUUAUCGGUGAUGGAUGGGGAUGCGUCUGAUUAGCUUGUUAGCGGGGUAACGGCCCACCAAGGCGACGAUCAGUAGGGGUUCUGAGAGGAAGGUCCCCCACAUUGGAACUGAGACACGGUCCAAACUCCUACGGGAGGCAGCAGUGAGGAAUAUUGGUCAAUGGGCGAGAGCCUGAACCAGCCAAGUAGCGUGCAGGAUGGCGGCCCUAUGGGUUGUAAACUGCUUUUAUAAGGGAAUAAAGUGAGUCUCGUGAGACUUUCUGCAUGUACCUUAUGAAUAAGGACCGGCUAAUUCCGUGCCAGCCGCCGCGGUAA